UGCGAUGGGGAAACUGGGCAAGUCUG
rnacentral:piRNA from 1 species